rnacentral:rRNA from 1 species
GACGAAUGCUGGCGGCGUGCCUAAUACAUGCAAGUAGAACGCACAGUUUAUACCGUAGCUUGCUACACCAUAGACUGUGAGUUGCGAACGGGUGAGUAACGCGUAGGUAACCUGCCUGGUAGCGGGGGAUAACUAUUGGAAACGAUAGCUAAUACCGCAUAAUAUUGAUUAUUGCAUGAUAAUUGAUUGAAAGAUGCUAUUGCAUCACUACCAGAUGGACCUGCGUUGUAUUAGCUAGUAGGUGAGGUAACGGCUCACCUAGGCGACGAUACAUAGCCGACCUGAGAGGGUGAUCGGCCACACUGGGACUGAGACACGGCCCAGACUCCUACGGGAGGCAGCAGUAGGGAAUCUUCGGCAAUGGACGAAAGUCUGACCGAGCAACGCCGCGUGAGUGAAGAAGGUUGUCGGAUCGUAAAGCUCUGUUGUAAGAGAAGAACGGGUGUGAGAGUGGAAAGUUCACACUGUGACGGUAUCUUACCAGAAAGGGACGGCUAACUACGUG